UUUUUUGCCUGUAUAAGGUCCCCAAGGUUCAUUUUUGGUCGGUGAGUGAAGGAGAAGAAAUAGAAGGAGAAGAAAAGAAGAGAAGAAGGAGAAGGAGAAGGAGAGGGCGGGAAGGGAAGGUAAAAAAGAAAGAAAAAAAGAGAAGAGAAAAAGAGCGAGGGAAGGAGAAAGAGAAGGAAAAAAAAAUAGAAAAGAAAAUGUAUUUUUUUUGUUAUAAAUUAAUUGAUUAAUGUCAAUUUAAUUCGUUUUUGUUGUUAUUAUUGUUGAUUUAAUUCGGAUUUAAUUUUUAAAUUUAUUUUUAUAAGGUAUUAUUUGGUUAAAAAGAGCUAUUAAGGUGUGUUUGUAUUUAUUUUAUAUUUUCAUUC
rnacentral:lncRNA from 1 species